AAGCUCGUAGUUGAAUUUCCGGAUCAGUAUGUUGGUCGUGCUUCGGUACGUACUGUCAUUACUGGUUUCUCCCUUCUGAAGAACCUUGAUGUCAUUAAUUUGGUGUCUUGGGGAAUCAGGACUGUUACUUUGAAAAAAUUAGAGUGUUUAAAGCAGGCAUACGCUUGAAUACAUUAGCAUGGAAUAAUGAAAUAGGACGUUUGAUUCUAUUUUGUUGGUUUCUAGGAUCGACGUAAUGAUUAAUAGGGAUAGUUGGGGGCAUUAGUAUUCAAUUGUCAGAGGUGAAAUUCUUGGAUUUAUUGAAGACUAACUACUGCGAAAGCAUUUGCCAACGAUGUUUUCAUUAAUCAAGAACGAAAGUUAGGGGAUCGAAGACGAUCAGAUACCGUCGUAGUCUUAACCAUAAACUGUGCCGACUAGGGAUCGGAUGAUGUUAUUUUUAGUGACUCAUUCGGCGCCUUACGGGAAACCAAAGUGUUUGGGUUCCGGGGGGAGUAUGGUCGCAAGGCUGAAACUUAAAGGAAUUGACGGAAGGGCACCACCAGGGGUGGAGCCUGCGGCUUAAUUUGACUCAACACGGGGAAA
rnacentral:rRNA from 1 species